UGGGCUUGACAUCAUAGUGCCCGCUCUGGAAACAGAGUUUUUUCUAUACUUCGGUAUAGUUACGCUAUGAC
rnacentral:rRNA from 1 species